rnacentral:rRNA from 1 species
ACGGAAGGCAGCAGUGGGGAAUAUUGCACAAUGGGCGCAAGCCUGAUGCAGCGAUGCCGCGUGAGGGGAGAAGGUUUUCGGAUUGUAAACCUCUGUCAACAGGGACGAAAAUGACGGUACCUGUGAAGGAAGCUCCGGCUAACUACGUGCCAGCAGCCGCGGUAAUACGUAGGGAGCAAGCGUUAUCCGGAAUUACUGGGUGUAAAGGGAGUGUAGGCGGGACUGUAAGUCAGAUGUGAAAUAUGCCGGCUCAACUGGCAGACUGCAUUUGAAACUGCGGUUCUUGAGUGAAGUAGAGGGAAGCGGAAUUCCUAGUGUAGCGGUGAAAUGCGUAGAUAUUAGGAGGAACAGCAGUGGCGAAGGCGGCUUACUGGGCUUUAACUGACGCUGAGGCUCGAAAGCGUGGGGAGCAAACAGGAUUAGAUACCCUGGUA